GCCAGAACACCUGAGUGUUCCGCAUGGUUCUGACUGACAGAACUACUGUAGUUUGUUUCAUUUGGACCAGAACCAGAACGGUCUGGUUCCGAUCAGAGCCUUAAUCUGCUAGGCUCGGUUCUCCUGGAUCGCCUCCUCAGGCUUUUAUUGUGAAAGCCUCACAGGAAGUCGCCGUCUGCCCUCCUCGGAACUGUUCGGCCAUGUUCGGUUCCGCUCGGCUUAUUUUCAUCUCCGCCUCCAGAUGAGUGGAGCGAGAAGAAGUUCGGAGCCCGCGGAGCUCAGAGCUGCUGCGGAGCCGAACCGAAACCGGAUCUGGACCUGAGCGGGACCGGAAGAUGGAGCGGGACCGGGACCACGGCGGAGCCGGGACACAGAGAGCGGGACCGAGGCUGUGAGUGGACCAGGACCGCAGCGGGACCGGGACGGUGACAGAACCCAGAGCAGCAGUGAGAGGUUCGGCCGGUGGGACAGCAGCGGUUCCGGGCAGCAGAACCUCUUCAAAGUGGACUUCUGUCGGCCGCAGACAGGAACAUGUACCAGGUCCAGCUGGUGGGCGAGCAGCAGGAGAGCCGGCCUCUGCUGAGUCCCUCCAUCGAUGACUUCCUCUCAGAGAGCCGACCCCCGACCUCCAGCCGACCCCCGACCUCCAACACAGCAGUUCUGUCCACGG